AUUGAACGCUGGCGGCAGGCCUAACACAUGCAAGUCGAGCGGAUGAAGGGAGCUUGCUCCUGGAUUCAGCGGCGGACGGGUGAGUAAUGCCUAGGAAUCUGCCUGGUAGUGGGGGAUAACGUCCGGAAACGGGCGCUAAUACCGCAUACGUCCUGAGGGAGAAGGUGGGGGAUCUUCGGACCUCACGCUAUCAGAUGAGCCUAGGUCGGAUUAGCUAGUUGGUGGGGUAAAGGCCUACCAAGGCGACGAUCCGUAACUGGUCUGAGAGGAUGAUCAGUCACACUGGUACGGCGACACGGUCGGGAGUACUACGGGAGGCAGCAGAGGGGAAUAUAGGAAAAGGGGGGAAGGCAGGAACCAGCUAUGCCGCUUGAGUGAUGAAGGUCUGAGGGAUGUAAAGCUCUUUAACACCGGAUGAUAAUGACAUGACCAACAGAAUAAGCUCCGGCUAACUUCGUG
rnacentral:rRNA from 1 species